rnacentral:sRNA from 1 species
GCUUUCACAUGAAAAGGUGGUUUUAAUAUAGGAAUGUUAAAAGUGGGGAAGUAAAUGAAUGCAUUGACCUUCUAUUUUUGAUACAUUUUAUAUAGUUAUAUAUCUGGACUGCUGAUGAUACACAAGUCUAACAGGAUUAAAAUAGGUCACGUCAAAAUAUGUGCCAUGGAUUCUUUCACAGACGACUGUUGACUGUUAAGUGAGUCAUAUUUCCUUUCUUGUCUGUUAAUUUAUUGUGAAUUAGAAUCUGUGGAGUGAUUGUGUAUAAUUUUUCUACAAAGUGUUGAUUACAGAAGAGACUGAAUGUGGUUCUAUGUAGGCAGUUUUUCCAACAUUAAAAUGUCAUUCAUAAC